GUGCUCCGGUUCGGCAGCACAUAUACUAAAAUUGGAACCGAUACAGGAGAAGAUUAGCAUGGCCCCUGCGCAGGGAUGGAACACGCAAAUCGUGAAGCUCCAUAUUUUG